rnacentral:rRNA from 1 species
AUUGAACGCUGGCGGCAUGCUUUACACAUGCAAGUCGAACGGCAGCGCGGGCUUCGGCCUGGCGGCGAGUGGCGAACGGGUGAGUAAUGCAUCGGAACGUGCCCAGUAGUGGGGGAUAGCCCAGCGAAAGCCGGAUUAAUACCGCAUACGACCUGAGGGUGAAAGCGGGGGACCGAAAGGCCUCGCGCUAUUGGAGCGGCCGAUGUCGGAUUAGCUAGUUGGUGGGGUAAAGGCUUACCAAGGCGACGAUCCGUAGCUGGUCUGAGAGGACGACCAGCCACACUGGGACUGAGACACGGCCCAGACUCCUACGGGAGGCAGCAGUGGGGAAUUUUGGACAAUGGGGGCAACCCUGAUCCAGCCAUGCCGCGUGCGGGAAGAAGGCCUUCGGGUUGUAAACCGCUUUUGUUCGGGAAGAAAUCCUCUGGGCUAAUACCCCGGGGGGAUGACGGUACCGGAAGAAUAAGCACCGGCUAACUACGUGC